UGAAGGGACGGCAGGUAGCCUAGUGGUUAGAGUGUAGGGACGGCAGGUAGCCUAGUGGUUAGAGUGUAGGGACGGCAGGUAGCCUAGAGGUUAGAGUGUAGGGACGGCAGGUAGCCUAGUGGUUAGAGUGUAGGGACGGCAGGUAACCUAGUGGUUAGAGUGUAGGGACGGCAGGUAGCCUAGUGGUUAGAGUGUAGGGGCGGCAGGUAGCCUAGUGGUUAGAGUGUAGGGACGGCAGGUAGCCUAGUGGUUAGAGUGUAGGGACGGCAGGUAACCUAGUGGUUAGAGUGUAGGGACGGCAGGUAACCUAGUGGUUAGAGUGUAGGGACGGCAGGUAGCCUAGUGGUUAGAGUGUAGGGACGGCAGGUAACCUAGUGGUUAGAGUGUAGGGACGGCAGGUAACCUAGUGGUUAGAGUGUAGGGACGGCAGGUAGCCUAGUGGUUAGAGUGUAGGGACGGCAGGUAACCUAGUGGUUAGAGUGUAGGGACGGCAGGUAGCCUAGUGGUUAGAGUGUAGGGACGGCAGGUAGCCUAGUGGUUAGAGUGUAGGGACGGCAGGCAGUCUAGUGGUUAGAGUGUAGGGACGGCAGGUAGCCUAGUGGUUAGAGUGUAGGGACGGCAGGUAGCCUAGUGGUUAGAGUGUAGGGAUUACAGGUAGCCUAGUGGUUAGAGUGUAGGGA
ensembl:lncRNA